ensembl:ncRNA R02D5.17 ncRNA
AAUCGCGGCGGCGCACGCACUUUUGUUCGUCGUUUCAUUUUCUCCGCGCCCUGCUGCUGCUGCUUCACAGUGUUUUUUGCGCGGUGUUCAUUGUGUUGCGCGGAGAUCCGACUAGCUGAUAAG